rnacentral:rRNA from 1 species
AGAGGCGCACGGGAGAGAAACGCGUAGGUAAUCUGCCCACGAGUGGGGAAUAACCAGUCGAAAGAUUGGCUAAUACCGCAUAAGACCACAGGAUCUGCGGAUCAAGGGGUCAAAGGAUUUAUUCGCUUGUGGAUGAGCCUGCGUCCGAUUAGCUAGUUGGUAAGGUAACGGCUUACCAAGGCGAGGAUCGGUAGCUGGUCUGAGAGGAUGAUCAGCCUCACUGGAACUGAGACACGGUCCAGACUCCUACGGGAGGCAGCAGUAGGGAAUAUUGCUCAAUGGGGGAAACCCUGAAGCAGCAACGCCGCGUGAGUGAUGAAGGCCUUCGGGUCGUAAAGCUCUGUCGCAGGGGAAAAUCUAAGAUGGUACCCUGUAAGAAAGGACCGGCCAACUUCGUGCCAGCAGCCGCGGUAAUACGGGGGGUCCUAGCGUUGUUCGGAAUCACUGGGCGUAAAGCGUUUGUAGGUGGCUUUGUAAGUUAAAUGUGAAAGCCUGGGGCCUAACCCCAGAAGUGCAUUUAAUACUGCAGAGCUUGAGUAUGAGAGAGGAAGGUGGAAUACCUGGUGUAGUGGUGAAAUACGUAGAUAUCAGGUGGAACAUCGGCGGCGAAAGCGGCCUUCUGGCUUAAUACUGACACUGAAAAACGAAAGCGUGGGGGAUCAAACAGGAUUAGAUACCCUGGUAGUCUACGCCGU